rnacentral:tRNA from 1 species
GGUCAGGUAGCUCAGUGGUAGAGCACCUGGUAUAUAUCCAGAUAACCUGGGUUCAAAUCCCAGUCUGGUCA